rnacentral:tRNA from 1 species
GAUGGGGUGGCCGAUUGGUUAAGGUCAUGGACUGCUAAUCCAUUGUGCUCUGCACGUGUGGGUUCGAAUCCCAUCCUCAUCG